UUUGCGUUUUUUGGUUGCGGAAGAAAUUGGAUUUACAAAUGGAAUUAUAGGCUAAAUGUUUUAAGGAAAUUUACAGCUAGUUUCGAGUUUCUCGAGUAAGAACUUGGAUUGUAGUAAAGGACAACUGAAGUAAAACUUGCUUAUCCGUUUAAUCUUCUACCUUAGCUGUUCAGCCUCGGGUCGCGUGUACUUUUAGCCUGAACACGGAAGUAGAGUGAAUAUGUCAUGAUGUGCCAAAGAAGUACCAGUACUCGCAGUAGCUCUUUGGAUGUUCAUAUAACGUGGAAAUCUAGGAAAAAUCAAAUUUUAGAUGUCAGGUCAUCUAAGUGCAAUCAGAUGAUGUUAUUCAACAUGCUGUGGCUGCAUUGAACUAGAAGUCAUUUCAGGAACAGAAUCCAGGGAUCAUAAGAGAAAUGUAUGUAUAGCCAAUGAUGAUGAUACCUGCUGGCCAAUCACUGCCAAAGAAUAACCUAUUCACAGAAAUAUGGCAUCUUUCACACAUAUGGAAUGGAACAUUUUUGCCAAGAUGCUACAUAAACUCUGACACCGAGAAUAUGGCACCUUUCACACAUAUGGAAUGGAAAAUGUUUGCCAAGACGCUACAUAAACUCUGACACCGAGAAUAUGGCACCUUUCACACAGUCAUAUGGAAUGGAACAUUUUUGCAAAGACGCAACAUAAACUCUGACACCGAACGUACAUUACGACUAGUAGGACAAUAAUGCAAAGAAGACAGAAAACAGUGAAUUAUUAUACAACAAAUCACUGUUCUGACGUCACAGUUAUUACGUCAUGGCGUCAAACGGCAUAGUGGCGCACUGGGAAAGAAACAGAUUGAAAACGGGUUGAUGACAUCGCAACUAUAGUUUGCACCCACCUGAGUGCUGUAGGCACAAGCGAUUUUUACGAACCUGAACUGAUGAAAAAAGGUUUUACAUCAUACUCCGAUAUGAAUGCUUAUGAGACUAGAACUUUGAUAAGAAGUCUUCGCGGUAUUCAACCGGCCAUUAUAUUGGGUGAUUUUAACACAGGUUUUGCAUAUAAACCUCAGCUUCGCUCGGUAAUACCAGACAGCUACGUUGAAAUGCUAAAAAGAUUUACCACAAGGCCAGCUCUGAAGUUUACGUACCGUGACCCUUCAAACAGAAAGAUUCAGUCUGUUAUUGACCAUAUUUUUGUCAAGAACCUUAUCAUACGUAAAACCAAGAGAGUGUUUGGUCCCAAAACUGGAGAGGCUUUAAUAAGUGAUCACGUUGGUGUGCAAGCCGUGGUGAAAGCAGCAUGAUAAUUGCACCGAGGAACAUACAGCAUUUUAAAAUCUUUUGACUUAUGUGUUAAAUGUUUUGUGUAGAUCACUUAUAAAGAAUAAGAUAUCAGCAAAAUACAAACCUGAAUGAAA
rnacentral:misc_RNA from 1 species